GACGAACGCUGGCGGCGUGCCUAACACAUGCAAGUCGAACGAAGUGGCGAACGGGUGAGUAACGCGUAAUCAACCUGCCCUUCAGAGGGGGACAACAGUUGGAAACGACUGCUCAUACCGCAUUCUGAAGGAGGGGCUUGCGUCCGAUUAGCUAGUUGGAGGGGUAACGGCCCACCAAGGCGAUGAUCAGUAGCCGGUCUGAGAGGGUGAACGGCCACAUUGGGACUGAGACACGGCCCAGACUCCUACGGGAGGCAGCAGUGGGGAAUCGUCCGCAAUGGACGAAAGUCUGACGGAGCAACGCCGCGUGAGUGAUGAAGGCCUUCGGGUUGUAAAGGACUUUUGUCAGGGAAGCGGUACCUGAAGAAUAAGCACCGGCUAACUACGUGCCAGCAGCCGCGGUAAUUC
rnacentral:rRNA from 1 species